rnacentral:misc_RNA from 1 species
CGUCCGGGAGGGAUGCAGGACAGGAUCGGGCGCAGCCGGGGCGGAAGCGAGGGAAGAGUCCGGCUGAUAAGGAGCAUAAGAGGCUUAAGAGGUUGCUGAGGAACCGGGUGUCGGCGCAGCAGGCGAGGGAGAGGAAGAAGGCGUAUCUGAGUGAGCUGGAGGCGAAGGUGAAGGAUUUGGAGGUAAAGAACACAGAGCUGG